AACGAACGCUGGCGGCAUGCCUAACACAUGCGAGUCGAACGAGACCUUCGGGUCUAGUGGCGCACGGGUGCGUAACGCGUGGGAACCUGCCCUUAGGUUCGGAAUAACUCCCCGAAAGGGGUGCUAAUACCGGAUAAUGUCUUCGGACCAAAGAUUUAUCGCCUUUGGAUGGGCCCGCGUUGGAUUAGCUAGUUGGUAGGGUAAAAGCCUACCAAGGCGACGAUCCAUAGCUGGUCUGAGAGGAUGAUCAGCCACACUGGGACUGAGACACGGCCCAAACUCGUACGGGAGGAAGAAGUGGGGAAUAUGGAGGAAUGGGGGAAAGCCUGACGCAGUCAUGCCGCGUGAAUGAUGAAGGUCUUAGGAUUGUAAAAUUCUUUCACAGGGGACGAUAAUGACGGUACCCGGAGAAGAAGCCCCGGCUAACGGAGUG
rnacentral:rRNA from 1 species